ACGAACGCUGGCGGCGUGCCUAAUACAUGCAAGUCGAGCGAAUCUAAAGGGAGCUUGCUCCCGGAAGAUUAGCGGCGGACGGGUGAGUAACACGUGGGCAACCUACCUGUAAGUCUGGGAUAACUUCGGGAAACCGGAGCUAAUACCGGAUAAUUUCUUUCUUCGCAUGAAGAAAGGUUGAAAGACGGCUUUGCUGUCACUUACAGAUGGGCCCGCGGCGCAUUAGUUAGUUGGUGAGGUAACGGCUCACCAAGACCACGAUGCGUAGCCGACCUGAGAGGGUGAUCGGCCACACUGGGACUGAGACACGGCCCAGACUCCUACGGGAGGCAGCAGUAGGGAAUCUUCCGCAAUGGACGAAAGUCUGACGGAGCAACGCCGCGUGAGUGAAGAAGGUCUUCGGAUCGUAAAACUCUGUUAUCAGGGAAGAACAAGUACCGGAGUCACUGCCGGUACCUUGACGGUACCUGACCAGAAAGCCACGGCUAA
rnacentral:rRNA from 1 species